UACGGAGGGGGUUAGCGUCGUUCGGAAUUACUGGGCGUAAAGCGCGCAUAGGCGGACUGGAAAGUUGGGGGUGAAAUCCCGGGGCUCAACCCCGGAACUGCCUUCAAAACUAUCAGUCUAGAGUUCGAGAGAGGUGAGUGGAAUUGCGAGUGUAGAGGUGAAAUUCGUAGAUAUUCGCAGGUACACCAGUGGCGAAGGCGGCUCACUGGCUCGAUACUGACGCUGAGGUGCGAAAGUGUGGGGAGCAAACAGG
rnacentral:misc_RNA from 1 species